rnacentral:rRNA from 1 species
GACGAACGCUGGCGGCGUGCUUAACACAUGCAAGUCGAACGGAAAGGCCCUGCUUUUGUGGGGUGCUCGAGUGGCGAACGGGUGAGUAACACGUGAGUAACCUGCCCUUGACUUUGGGAUAACUUCAGGAAGCUGGGGCUAAUACCGGAUAGGAGCUCCUGCUGCAUGGUGGGGGUUGGAAAGUUUCGGCGGUUGGGGAUGGACUCGCGGCUUAUCAGCUUGUUGGUGGGGUAGUGGCUUACCAAGGCUUUGACGGGUAGCCGGCCUGAGAGGGUGACCGGCCACAUUGGGACUGAGAUACGGCACAGACUCCUACGGGAGGCAGCAGUGGGGAAUAUUGCACAAUGGGCGGAAGCCUGAUGCAGCAACGCCGCGUGCGGGAUGACGGCCUUAGGGUUGUAAACCGCUUUCGCCUGUGACGAAGCGUGAGUGACGGUAAUGGGUACAGAAGCACCGGCUAACUACGUG